rnacentral:rRNA from 1 species
UACGUAGGGUGCAAGCGUUGUCCGGAAUUAUUGGGCGUAAAGAGCUCGUAGGCGGUUUGUCGCGUCUGCCGUGAAAGCCCGGGGCUUAACCCCGGGUCUGCAUUCGAUACGGGCAGGCUAGAGUGUGGUAGGGGAGAUCGGAAUUCCUGGUGUAGCGGUGAAAUGCGCAGAUAUCAGGAGGAACACCGGUGGCGAAGGCGGAUCUCUGGGCCAUUACUGACGCUGAGGAGCGAAAGCGUGGGGAGCGAACAGG